GUGCUGUUGAUUGUUGGGCCGGUUUGUGGAGUUUUACUGAUUCUUCUCCUGCUGCUGUUUCUGUAUCUCUACAGAAAGUCAAAAGAUUCAUGCUUUAUGAGGUCUCAGAGCAGCAGUCGGGGCCCUGCUACAGACCACAUGAUCAACCAGGAUGAAACUCAGCUCAAAGAAUAUGCUCCUCCUCUCCAUGGCGAUGCUGUUCUCUAUGAAUCAAUCAAAGGCUUUGAAGAACCUGAACAUGGUGAAUCCAGCGAUGUCACAUAUUCUGUGGUUGAGCUCAAAAAC